CCCUUAGAUGUUCUGGGCCGCACGCGCGCUACAAUGGUCUUCGCAAACGGAUGCAUUCUCGAAGGAGAAUGCCAAUCUUGGAAUCUAUGCCUUGGUCGGGACAGUUGCUUGCAAUUUUUCGACUCGAACCAGGAAUUCCUUGUAAUCGUGAUUCAUCACAUCACGAUGAAUACGUCCCUGCCCUUUGUACACACCGCCCGUCGCUCCUACCGAUCGAAGAGUUAGGUGAAUUGUUUUGAUCGAUAAGAUUUGACUAUGGUCAACUCUCGUUGUGAAAUUCUGUGAAUCUGACUGUUGAGAGGAAGGAAAAGGCGUAACA
rnacentral:rRNA from 1 species